rnacentral:rRNA from 1 species
GACGAACGCUGGCGGCGUGCUUAACACAUGCAAGUCGAACGGAAAGGCCCUGCUUUUGUGGGGUGCUCGAGUGGCGAACGGGUGAGUAACACGUGAGUAACCUGCCCUUGACUUUGGGAUAACUUCAGGAAACUGGGGCUAAUACCGGAUAGGAGCUCCUGCUGCAUGGUGGGGGUUGGAAAGUUUCGGCGGUUGGGGAUGGACUCGCGGCUUAUCAGCUUGUUGGUGGGGUAGUGGCUUACCAAGGCUUUGACGGGUAGCCGGCCUGAGAGGGUGACCGGCCACAUUGGGACUGAGAUACGGCCCAGACUCCUACGGGAGGCAGCAGUGGGGAAUAUUGCACAAUGGGCGGAAGCCUGAUGCAGCAACGCCGCGUGCGGGAUGACGGCCUUCGGGUUGUAAACCGCUUUCGCCUGUGACGAAGCGUGAGUGACGGUAAUGGGUAAAGAAGCACCGGCUAACUACGUGCCAGCAGCCGCGGUGAUACGUAGGGUGCGAGCGUUGUCCGGAUUUAUUGGGCGUAAAGGGCUCGUAGGUGGUUGAUCGCGUCGGGAAGUGUAAUCUUGGGGCUUAACCCUGAGCGUGCUUUCGAUACGGGUUGACUUGAGGAAGGUAGGGGAGAAUGGAAUUCCUGGUGGAGCGGUGGAAUGCGCAGAUAUCAGGAGGAACACCAGUGGCGAAGGCGGUUCUCUGGGCCUUUCCUGACGCUGAGGAGCGAAAGCGUGGGGAGCGAACAGGCUUAGAUACCCUGGUAGUCCACGCUGUAAACGGUGGGUACUAGGUGUGGGGUCCAUUCCACGGGUUCCGUGCCGUAGCUAACGCUUUAAGUACCCCGCCUGGGGAGUACGGCCGCAAGGCUAAAACUCAAAGGAAUUGACGGGGCCCCGCACAAGCGGCGGAGCAUGCGGAUUAAUUCGAUGCAACGCGUAGAACCUUACCUGGGUUUGACAUGGAUCGGGAGUGCUCAGAGAUGGGUGUGCCUCUUUUGGGGUCGGUUCACAGGUGGUGCAUGGCUGUCGUCAGCUCGUGUCGUGAGAUGUUGGGUUAAGUCCCGCAACGAGCGCAACCCUUGUUCACUGUUGCCAGCACGUUAUGGUGGGGACUCAGUGGAGACCGCCGGGGUCAACUCGGAGGAAGGUGGGGAUGACGUCAAGUCAUCAUGCCCCUUAUGUCCAGGGCUUCACGCAUGCUACAAUGGCUGGUACAGAGAGUGGCGAGCCUGUGAGGGUGAGCGAAUCUCGGAAAGCCGGUCUCAGUUCGGAUUGGGGUCUGCAACUCGACCUCAUGAAGUCGGAGUCGCUAGUAAUCGCAGAUCAGCAACGCUGCGGUGAAUACGUUCCCGGGGCU